rnacentral:rRNA from 1 species
AGUGAACGCUGGCGGUAGGCCUAACACAUGCAAGUCGAACGGCAGCACAGGAGAGCUUGCUCUCUGGGUGGCGAGUGGCGGACGGGUGAGGAAUACAUCGGAAUCUACUCUGUCGUGGGGGAUAACGUAGGGAAACUUACGCUAAUACCGCAUACGACCUACGGGUGAAAGCAGGGGACCUUCGGGCCUUGCGCGAUUGAAUGAGCCGAUGUCGGAUUAGCUAGUUGGCGGGGUAAAGGCCCACCAAGGCGACGAUCCGUAGCUGGUCUGAGAGGAUGAUCAGCCACACUGGAACUGAGACACGGUCCAGACUCCGACGGGAGGCAGCAGUGGGGAAUAUUGGACAAUGGGCGCAAGCCUGAUUCAGCCAUACCGCGUGGGUGAAGAAGGCCUUCGAGUUGUAAAGCCCUUUUGUUGGGAAAGAAAUCCAGCUGGCUGAUACCCGGUUGGGAUGACGGUACCCAAAGAAUAAGCACCGGCUAACUUCGUGCCAGCCGCCGCCGUAA